rnacentral:misc_RNA from 1 species
AACACUGUUAACCUGCGGUACCUGCGGAAGGAUCAUUACCGAGUUUACAACUCCCAAACCCCUGUGAACAUACCUAUACGUUGCCUCGGCGGAUCAGCCCGCGCCCCGUAAAACGGGACGGCCCGCCCGAGGACCCUAAACUCUGUUUUUAGUGGAACUUCUGAGUAAAACAAACAAAUAAAUCAAAACUUUCAACAACGGAUCU